rnacentral:lncRNA from 1 species
UGCCUAGAUUUUUACUGCAACUUCUUAUUGUUUACACACCUCCACAAGCUUUGGUGCUGGUUCCAAGAUCACCACGCUCCAAGAGAAGAUCCCAAUAUCUGGUAUUAGAGCCUUAUUACUUGAUUUGGAGGAAAGAUCGAGAUCUCGCCUGGAUCAUGGUAAGGUGCAACACAGAUUUUUAUUGAAAUAAAUUUUUGCUUGUGUGCUAGUUGUCUAUUUGUUUUUCUAUUUGGCAUGGCAUCUAGUAACCUAAAGGUGGAUUUUGAGAAAUAUGACA